rnacentral:lncRNA from 1 species
UCAUGUCAACAUGAGCACAAAUAAGGAAGUGCCACGGAUAGAAGGUAAACACGGAAGCUAAGUGCAAAUUCGGACGCACGAGGUAUGAAAUCGUCGGGUUCAUGAGGAAUUGAAGCCGGACUUGGAUUAAGAGUAUUUAAGAGAAUGCUUGGAUAAUUCCAUGCUUACAUUAUGGAAUGCUAUGCGAAUUUCAAUUAUAUAGUAUAAUGUUGUAUAGUAUCACACGGAUUUCCUCUACCACUAACGAAGAUAAGCGGGCGUAGAUCGAGUCAAAGAACAAGGAUUGUACGGAUAGGACGGCCACCUAGCUUGAAUUAUGUAACGCGCCUUGAAGUAUUAAUUUAAGUAUGAACGUUGUUAAUUCUUUCUAGUAAAAGUUUGCCAUUUUUGUA